rnacentral:rRNA from 1 species
GAUGAACGCUGGCGGCGUGCCUAAUACAUGCAAGUCGAGCGAACAGACGAGGAGCUUGCUCCUCUGACGUUAGCGGCGGACGGGAGAGUAACACGUGUAUAAUCUACCUAUAUUAGUGGGAUAAUCUCGGGACACGGGCUCUUAUACCGGAUAAUCUAUUGAACCGCGGGGGGCGAUAGUGAAAUACGGUUUUUCUGUCACGUAUAGCGGGAUACCCGCCGCAUUAGCUAGUUGGUAAGUUCACGGCUUACCAAGGGGACGAUGCGUAGACGACCUGAGAGGGUGGUCGGCGACCCGGGAACUGAGCCACGGACCAGACUCCUACGGGAGGGAGCAGACGGCAACGUUACGCAAUGGGCGAAAGCCUGGCGGAGCAACCGCACGUGAGUUAUGACGGUCUUCGGAUCGUGAAACUCUGUUAUUAGGGAAAAACAAAUGUGUAAGUAACUGUGCACGUCUUGACGGUAACGGAUCAGAAAGCAACGGCUAACUACGUG